rnacentral:rRNA from 1 species
UACGUAGGGUGCGAGCGUUGUCCGGAAUUAUUGGGCGUAAAGAGCUCGUAGGCGGUCUGUCGCGUCGGAUGUGAAAACCCAGGGCUCAACCCUGGGCCUGCAUUCGAUACGGGCAGACUAGAGUUCGGUAGGGGAGACUGGAAUUCCUGGUGUAGCGGUGAAAUGCGCAGAUAUCAGGAGGAACACCGAUGGCGAAGGCAGGUCUCUGGGCAUUAACUGACGCUGAGGAGCGAAAGCAUGGGGAGCGAACAGG